GCGCCCGUAGCUCAGCUGGAUAGAGCAACGGACUUCUAAUCCGUAGGUCGUCCGUUCGAAUCGGACCGGGCGUGCCA
rnacentral:tRNA from 7 species